GUCGAGCGAGACGGGGCAACCCUAGUAAAGCGGCGCACGGGUGCGUAACACGUGGGUAAUCUGCCUUGGAGAGUGGGAUAACUAGCCGAAAGGUUAGCUAAUACCGCAUAAGCCCACGAGGUCUUCGGACCUUGAGGGAAAAGGCGGCCUCUGUAUACAAGCUGUCACUCCAAGAUGAGCCCGCGGCCCAUCAGCUAGUUGGCGGUGUAAAAGACCACCAAGGCUAUGACGGGUAGCUGGUCUGAGAGGACGAUC
rnacentral:rRNA from 1 species